rnacentral:rRNA from 1 species
CCUACGGGAGGCAGCAGUGAGGAAUAUUGGUCAAUGGCCGUAAGGCUGAACCAGCCAAGUCGCGUGAAGGAAGAAGGAUCUAUGGUUUGUAAACUUCUUUUAUAGGGGAAUAAAGGUAUCCACGUGUGGAUAUUUUCAUGUACCCUAUGAAUAAGCAUCGGCUAACUCCGUGCCAGCAGCCGCGGUAAUACGGAGGAUGCGAGCGUUAUCCGGAUUUAUUGGGUUUAAAGGGUGCGUAGGUUGUUUUUUACGUCAGCGGUGAAAGUUUGUGGCUCAACCAUAAAAUUGCCGUUGAAACUGGAAGACUGGAGUGUGUUUGAGGUAGGCGAAAUGCGUGGUGGAGCGGUGAAAGUCAUAGAUAGCACGCAGAACUCCGAGUGCGAAGGCAGCUUACUAAGCCAUAACUGACACUGAAGCACGAAAGCGUGGGGAUCAAACAGGAGUAGAUACCCGUGUAGGC